GGGAAGGCUGGGGAGAUGGGGGGAGUUCUCUUUACUGCGUUUUCCCAGUUGAAAAUUGUUUCCUGCGAAACGCGAUUUGUUGUUUGUGGGUCUGAUUUGUGCGUGCGGCUUGGGCUCCUGCGGCUUUUGGCUCGGCCGGGGGCCUUGGGCAGCGAGGCUGGAGCCGGAAGAGGUGGAGGUGAAGGGCUGCCCGCCACGUCCCUCCCUCCUCCAGAUGCCUGGCUUGGAUGGCGUUGGAACAGGGCAUUUGGAAUGUUAGGAGAUAAAGGCAGAAAACACCACAGGAAAUUGGCUGACAGCAAAGAGCGGAAGGAAGAAGAGGUGCCCCUAUACUAAACACCAGACGCUGGAAUUGGAGAAAGAAUUUCUGUUCAAUAUGUAUUUGACGCGAGAGCGCCGCCUGGAGAUUAGCAAGACCAUUAACCUUACAGACAGACAAGUCAAAAUCUGGUUUCAAAAUCGCAGAAUGAAACUCAAGAAAAUGAACCGAGAGAAUCGGAUCCGGGAACUGACCUCCAAUUUUAAUUUCACCUGAGAGCGCGGCCUCUCCUCCUCCCUUCCCGCUCCUUCCUCUCCCCGCCCCUCCUCCCUUUGUGCCUGGUGAUAUAUUUUUUUUUCCUCCCUGAGUAUAAAUGCAAUGCGACUGCAAAAAAGGCAAAGACCUCAGACUCUCCUUCCAAGGGACCUGUGGUUCGUGCUGCGAAGAUGCUUCCACUUAAAGCAUGAGAAAUGGGGUGCCGGGAUGUGGGGUGUGGUGUGUGCCCUCAUAGAUGGGGGUGGGAGUGUGGCUGGUGUGUGU
rnacentral:lncRNA from 1 species